CAGGCCUAACACAUGCAAGUCGAACGGUAACAUUUCUAGCUUGCUAGAAGAUGACGAGUGGCGGACGGGUGAGUAAUGCUUGGGAACUUGCCUUUGCGAGGGGGAUAACAGUUGGAAACGACUGCUAAUACCGCAUAAUGUCUUCGGACCAAACGGGGCUUCGGCUCCGGCGCAAAGAGAGGCCCAAGUGAGAUUAGCUAGUUGGUAAGGUAACGGCUUACCAAGGCGACGAUCUCUAGCUGUUCUGAGAGGAAGAUCAGCCACACUGGGACUGAGACACGGCCCAGACUCCUACGGGAGGCAGCAGUGGGGAAUAUUGCACAAUGGGGGAAACCCUGAUGCAGCCAUGCCGCGUGUGUGAAGAAGGCCUUCGGGUUGUAAAGCACUUUCAGUUGUGAGGAAAAGUUAGUAGUUAAUACCUGCUAGCCG
rnacentral:rRNA from 1 species